rnacentral:rRNA from 1 species
GACGAACGCUGGCGGCGUGCCUAAUACAUGCAAGUAGAACGCUGAAGGAGGAGCUUGCUUCUCCGGAUGAGUUGCGAACGGGUGAGUAACGCGUAGGUAACCUGCCUGGUAGCGGGGGAUAACUAUUGGAAACGAUAGCUAAUACCGCAUAAGAGUAGAUGUUGCAUGACAUUUGCUUAAAAGGUGCAAUUGCAUCACUACCAGAUGGACCUGCGUUGUAUUAGCUAGUUGGUGGGGUAACGGCUCACCAAGGCGACGAUACAUAGCCGACCUGAGAGGGUGAUCGGCCACACUGGGACUGAGACACGGCCCAGACUCCUACGGGAGGCAGCAGUAGGGAAUCUUCGGCAAUGGACGGAAGUCUGACCGAGCAACGCCGCGUGAGUGAAGAAGGUUUUCGGAUCGUAAAGCUCUGUUGUAAGAGAAGAACGAGUGUGAGAGUGGAAAGUUCACACUGUGACGGUAUCUUACCAGAAAGGGACGGCUAACUACGUGCCAGCAGCCGCGGUAAUACGUAGGUCCCGAGCGUUGUCCGGAUUUAUUGGGCGUAAAGCGAGCGCAGGCGGUUAGAUAAGUCUGAAGUUAAAGGCUGUGGCUUAACCAUAGUACGCUUUGGAAACUGUUUAACUUGAGUGUAAGAGGGGAGAGUGGAAUUCCAUGUGUAGCGGUGAAAUGCGUAGAUAUAUGGAGGAACACCGGUGGCGAAAGCGGCUCUCUGGCUUGUAACUGACGCUGAGGCUCGAAAGCGUGGGGAGCAAACAGG